rnacentral:rRNA from 1 species
AUGCCAAAUUUGAGAUUAUCCUCCAAUAAUGCUCAAGAACAAGCUCGUAAUGCAUAUAUGAAGCAUGGAGCAUAUCAGAUUGAAAUGGAUGAGUACCCUCUUGAUGAUUCAGUAGUCCAUCAACGCAAGUUUCAGUAUCAUUGGUUUAAAUCCUUCCCUUGGUUGGAAUAUUCACCAUUGAAAGAUGCAGUCUAUUGUUUUCCAUGCUUUUUGUUUAUAAGAAGCCACUUGGAAAAAAAGGGUCUAAUGUGUUUACAGUGCAAGGAUUCAGAAAAUGGAAGCGAGUUAAUGAUGGAAACAAAUGCGCAUUCUUGA